CUCUGCUCAGACAGGACUGAGGUCUCUGGGAAGGCAGGUGUGGUCUAGAAGAUGAGGCUGCUGGGUCUUGUCCUGUGCCUGGUCACAGCCCCCCAAGGUGUCCUGUGCCAGGUGCAGCUACAGGAGUCAGGACCUGGCCUGGUGAAGCCCUCACAGACCCUGUCCCUCACCUGUGCUGUCUCUGGUUACUCCAUCACCAGUAUUUCCUGCUGGAGCUGGAUCCGUCAACCCCCAGGGAAGGGGCUGGAGUGGUUAGGUUGCAUAUGGUAUGAUGGUGAUACUAGGUACAGCUCAUCACUCAAGAGCCGAGUGUCCAUAUCCAGAGACACAUCCAAGAACCAGUUCUCCCUGCAGCUGAGCUCCCUGACCACCCAGGACACAGCCACCUAUUACUGUGCCAGAGACACAAUGAGGGGACCUCAGGGCAGCUCCUUCUGGGGCACGACCAUCAAUAGUCUUCUGGAGAUGCCCGUGUCUCAGGACACCACAAACUUUAUAGUUCUUCCAUCAAGUUUUCCAUAA